GCUGCACCGAGCUUAAUUACUAUUGUUCCGCUUGCUGCGAAGGGAUUCCCAUCUUAACUGGAUGGAGAUUACGUGUGUGGCGUAUGAAUUCGCUGGCCCGGAUCAAUCGGGUGGAUCCACUACUUAGCAGGAGGUACGUCCAAUCUCCCCACAGCGAGCAUGCGAUUAAAUGGAGCUGCGAUGGGAUCAGGCUUUAAUUAUUUGCCUGGCGCUGAUCAGGAAUUUUGUUCCUCGAAAAUGGAUUUGAUCCAGGAUGAAUUGAUGGUCGAUCUCUGAACCCCAGUUCCAGACAAGUUUGAAUAAUUAACAGUACAUGCGAAGGCAUAGGAGACGUGCUCGUACCUGUCCUGGCCGCGUAGCGCUGCAGGCCCACGUCACUAUCAUUCCUCGGGACGAGAAGACGACGAACACUCAAACUGGUGAACAAAAAGAAGGAAGUGACGGAAGUCAAGAACGAUCAAAAUCAAGGUCAGGGUCUGAUCGAUCCUCUGAUCCAAACAAACAGUGAAACGAGCGCUUUGGUUUCCACGUUAUUCUCUGCCUACAUGCGAACAUGGGCCAGACCUUCUUUUUUUUCUUUCUAUGUACGCAGUACACAAGGCUGAGUUUCAAAAAAAACAUGAUGACGUAGAUCAUGGUAAUUAUUGCUAAUUGAUAUUUUUCCUUCUAUGUACGCAGCAUACAAUGCCGAGUUUCAAAAAAAAUAUGAUGGCGUAGAUCAUGGCAAUUCUUGCUAAUUGAUAUGAUUAAAAUAGGCCAAGGUUGGAG
rnacentral:lncRNA from 1 species